rnacentral:rRNA from 1 species
ACAGAGUUUGAUCCUGGCUCAGAAGGAACGCUGGCAGCGUGCAUAACACAUGCAAGUCGAACGGUAGUAGUAUCUUCGGAUACUAUGAGAGUGGCGAACGGGUGAGUAACACGUAAGAAUCUACCUUUAGGACGGGGAUAACUUCUGGAAACGGACGCUAAUACCCGAUAUGCUGUGGAGUGAAAUGAAUUUCGCCCAAGAUGAUCUUGCGUCUGAUUAGCUAGAUAGGGUGGUAAUGGCGCCCUAUGGCGACGAUCAGUAGCUGGUCUGAGAGGAUGAUCAGCCACACUGGGACUGAGACACGGCCCAGACUCCUACGGGAGGCAGCAGUGGGGAAUUUUCCGCAAUGGGCGAAAGCCUGACGGAGCAACGCCGCGUGAGGGAUGAAGGCCUCUGGGCUGUAAACCUCUUUUAUCAAGGAAGAAGAUCUGACGGUACUUGAUGAAUAAGCCACGGCUAAUUCCGUGCCAGCAGCCGCGGUAAUACGGGAGUGGCAAGCGUUAUCCGGAAUUAUUGGGCGUAAAGCGUCCGCAGGCGGCCCUUCAAGUCUGCUGUUAAAAAGUGGAGCUUAACUCCAUCAUGGCAGUGGAAACUGUUGGGCUUGAGUGUGGUAGGGGCAGAGGGAAUUCCCGGUGUAGCGGUGAAAUGCGUAGAUAUCGGGAAGAACACCAGUGGCGAAGGCGCUCUGCUGGGCCAUCACUGACGCUCAUGGACGAAAGCCAGGGGAGCGAAAGGGAUUAGAUACCCCUGUAGUCCUGGCCGUAAACGAUGAACACUAGGUGUCGGGGGAAUCGACCCCCUCGGUGUCGUAGCCAACGCGUUAAGUGUUCCGCCUGGGGAGUACGCACGCAAGUGUGAAACUCAAAGGAAUCGACGGGGGCCCGCACAAGCGGUGGAGUAUGUGGUUUAAUUCGAUGCAACGCGAGGAACCUUACCAGGGUUUGACAUCCUGCGAAUCUCUUGGAAACGAGAGAGUGCCUUCGGGAGCGCAGUGACAGGUGGUGCAUGGCUGUCGUCAGCUCGUGUCGUGAGAUGUUGGGUUAAGUCCCGCAACGAGCGCAACCCACGUCUUUAGUUGCCAGCAUUUAGUUGGGCACUCUAGAGAGACCGCCGGUGAUAAACCGGAGGAAGGUGUGGAUGACGUCAAGUCAUCAUGCCCCUUACAUCCUGGGCUACACACGUACUACAAUGCUACGGACAAAGGGCAGCAAGUUCGCGAGGACAAGCAAAUCCCAUAAACCGUGGCUCAGUUCAGAUCGUAGGCUGCAACUCGCCUACGUGAAGGAGGAAUCGCUAGUAAUCGCAGGUCAGCAUACUGCGGUGAAUACGUUCCCGGGCCUUGUACACACCGCCCGUCACACCAUGGAAGUUGGCCACGCCCGAAGCCGUUACUCCAACCCUUGUGGAGGAGGACGUCGAAGGUGGGGCUGAUGACUGGGGUGAAGUCGUAACAAGGUAAC